GUACUGGGAAUAAGCACCGGCUAACUACGUGCCAGCACGCGGUAAUACGUAGGGUGCGAGCGUUAAUAAUUACUGGGCGUAAAGCGUGCGCAGGCGGUUCGUGUGAAAGCCCCGGGCUCAACCAUUGCAUUGGAAACUGGCGGGCUUAGUGUGGCAGAGGGGGGUGGAAUUCCACGUGUAGCAGUGAAAUGCGUAGAGAUGUGGAGGAACACCGAUGGCGAAGGCA
rnacentral:rRNA from 1 species